AGCAGCCGCGGUAAUUCCAGCUCCAAUAGCGUAUAUUAAAGUUGUUGCAGUUAAAAAGCUCGUAGUUGAAUUUCGAGACCGGUUUAAUGGUCGUGCUUUUGUACGUACUGGUAUAAUCGGUUUCUCCUUUCUGACGAACUAUAAUGCCAUUAAUUUGGUGUUUUAGGGAAUCUGGACUGUUACUUUGAAAAAAUUAGAGUGUUUAAAGCAGGCUCACGCUUGAAUACAUUAGCAUGGAAUAACGGAAUAGGACGUUUGAUUCUAUUUUGUUGGUUUCUAGGAUCGACGUAAUGAUUAAUAGGGAUAGUUGGGGGCAUUAGUAUUCAAUUGUCAGAGGUGAAAUUCUUGGAUUUAU
rnacentral:rRNA from 1 species